UAUUCCAAACUAAUAUGCGUUUGUGGUUCUCCAUUUCGAAGUUGCGCUUGUGCAUCCAAUGAGGAGAGAGUGAGAGAGCGCUUCCUCCCUUAUCCUCUUCUUCUUUCUGAUCCAUGUGUUCCCAUUAGAUGAGAGAGAGCGAGUGAAAAAGGAGUAAGAGGGAGAGGGAAAUAGACUAACAAGAAAUUGUGGGAAUGGGUCGAUUGGGAAGGAAUUCCUUUGGGUAUUGCCAAACGAAAUCCUUUCCUAAACCACCCAUUCCUCUGAUUUCUUGAUGUUUUUCUCUCUCCCUUUCUUGUCCUGGUCCUAUAUCCAGUCAUCCCAAUCAUCUUCUUCUCCUUCUUCUUUUCUCUAAUUGCUACUCUUGCUUUGUUUUAUUCAUAUUGUUUUUCACCUUUCUUUGCUGUUCUUGAAAUCGAUUGGUUUUGUGCUUUUUAUGUUGUCAUAUUUUUUGUUUCUGGAAAAAAAAAAAAUAAGAACAUUUUAUUGGGUUUGAAAAGUGAGGUUUUAUUACUUUGAUCAGCAGAAAGAAAAGAAAAAGAAAAAGAAAAGAAAAAGAAAAAGAAAUUCUGAGAUCUAAAAGGAAAAAGAAUUAAAAUCUGAGAUCUAGUUUUAGUGUGUUCAGUGAAGGUAUGUUUACUCUUCUUCCUUUUGUAUUUUGUUCUUCUGUUUGUUCAUGUCACAUCUUUUGAUCUGAAAUCUCAAAUAUGAAUACAAGUUACCCUAAUAUUUCGUAGUGGUUUGAUUUUCAAUUUUUCUUCCCUUUGAUAGGAUUUUAAGUUGUUAUAUGGAAAUAUGAUGGGAGAUUUUUGCAAUUGAACCAACUAAGAUCUAACUCUUGUUUUGUGUUGACCUUAUUGUAUCUAUUGUAUGAUGAAAAGUAGAGAUUUUAUUUGACAGUAGAUCUGAAUUUCUUCCACAUGCCCUGUUCUUUGAAGCAUGCUUUGAAUCAUUUCACUUGGAUUCAGUUAAAAUAGCAAGUCAUUUAUUUAUGUUUCAUGGGAUCGACUUUGAAGAACUCAAUAAGGUAUAGCUAUAGUCAAAAGCUAAGUCAUAAGGUAUCUUUAUGUUUAGAUCUGAUUUUAACCCCCAUGUGUUGAAUUCUAUUUCCUUCAAAUUCACCCAUUUUAGACCUUGUGGGAUAAAGUUAUAGACUAAUCCAUCAUUCUUGAGAUUUCAAACAAUAUCCUUUGGUGGGAUAGAUGAGGUAAACUAACCUAGAAAAUAAAUUUGGUGGUAGUGUUGGUUAAUGAAAACUCAAGCCAAAUAGGAAAGCAUCUUGUAUGGUAAAGGCCAUUUCAUGCCAUCAAAUAAGCCCCCCUUCAAACUUUUCCGUAUGAAUGAUUUUGUACUUGGGUGAUGGCAUUUGGUUGGUAUGUGGAAGUAAUCUUUGGUGCCCAUUUAACUUGCACACCUCGAUGGCCUACUCUUUCUUUUCACCUUGGAAAAAGUUGUGUGAAACCAUGUGAUCACUGAAAGGAACAUGUGCAAAUCGCAUCACUUUUUUUCAUUUGGUGAAAACCGUGUAAAGUUUUCUUGAAGUGUUUCAAAUAAGUGGCAUAUUUUAGGCAAAUGCAUAAUGGAUUAUCUUUUGACCUCUCUUUUGUGUCCUCCAAAUUUUUUCAUUGCAUAAACAUAUAUGUAGAGCAAUGUUAUUCUCAGAGCUGUUUUGUUGCUUCCAUGUCAAUUCCAAAUAGAUUAUUCAUUAGCUAAAAAUAGGAUGGUCAUGGAAGCAACAAAACAAGCUCUGCCAAUAUGAUUAUGCCUCACUUUAUGUUCCACCUUUUUUGUGGAAUCAGUUUUCACCAUGGUUUUAAAUAAUGGUGUUAGGACAUGUAUCCAAAUCGGUGAUGCGAUCAUAUAUCGGUCAAUAUCAAAUAGUAUCGGUUGAUAUAUUGAUGAAUAAUGGUAUCGGAGGUCCAAAAUUCUGAUACAUAACAUUGGAUAUUUUAAACCCUAGUUCGAACAGUAUCAACUCUUAAAUGUGGAUUUUUUCCAUAUAUGGUUGUUUCCACAUUUAUUAAAUCACUGCAGAAAAGGCUGCUGAUGUUUGAAAUCUGUAGGUUAAAAUAAAAUAAAUUAUUUAGUGGUCCGGGAUCAUCAUGUUAGCUUUGGUUCCGAUCACUCAUGAUUGGUUCCAUAAGAAAAAAUGGGACUUGAGUUUCACUUUUUUUUUUUUUUUUUUUUUUUUUUUUUUAUAUGUGGCCGAUCAUGAGUGGUUUGAGACCAAAACUGAUGUGGUGGUCCGGGACCACUGAAUAAUUACUCCUUAAAUAGUAAAAUAAUUUAAUUACAAUCUUCAUUUGCAGUGUUCAUAGUUUUCGGCCGUAAAUCAUUACAUAUAUGCCCUUGUUUGUGGUAAUGCUCAUAGCAAGUAUGUGUUUGGAUCCAGUUUUGCUUCCUCUUUCUUCUAUUGGUAUAGAAGUCUGUAUGCAGCAAGUGUUUUCAAAAGUGGAGCAAUCUUUCGAUUGUUUUAGUUGUUGCAAGAUACAUCAAAAGCAUUCUAUAGGAAUGAUUGAACAUGCAAUUUAGAUUACGGUUGUGCUACUUGCACAAAGAUAGAAUACAAAAUUUUUUCACAUAAUAGAGAUAAGAUGUGGGGUUAUGGGGUUCACAUGUGAUCUACACAUGUGGGGCUCACCUCUUUUGUCUCACUUCUGUAAAAGUUUUUGUGUUUUAUUUCUGUGCAAGUAAAUUUUUUAAAUAGGUAAAAAUAACAUUAAAAAUAAUAUAAUAAAAAAAUUGAAUGGGAGUAUAUAUAUAUAUGUGUAUGUAUAUUUUGUCAGCAAGGGGGAAAGUAUUGUCUCUAUAAUUUGUUUGUUUGUUUCUACCUAGUUAUGACAUACUGUGACAGGGUUGUCAUUUGUUCGGUGCUUUGAGUUGUGCCCCUAGCAUUUUUCAAUUCUGUAUCUAGGACACUGGCAUUAACUAGUAGUAUAGUCUAACUGUGUUUUGUUAGGCAGCAUGACAGAAUAAUGUACAGUUUUUUUCUAUUUCCAUUAUUUUUACGCAAUAUCGCAGGAUUCGACUACGAGACCAUUGCAGUUCAUGGAUUGAUAUCGGUGGAACUUUUGGUUUGGUUAUGGCCUCAUCUUGGUUCUUAGAUGGAAAGUAUCGAUAAAAAGAAGUGUGUUGAAUCCUUCCUUCUGCGUUGGAUUGAGAAGUUCUUUGAUCCCGUAAAAGAAUCUAAUUAAAAAAGGAGAAGAUUGUCUCUUUUCGCAGACUGUCCGAUGCUAGUCUUAACUGCUGAUUAAAGAAAUGAAGGGCGUUUUGGCUUUGAAUUGGCGGUAGUUUGAUGAUGCUUCGCCCAGCAAUGAUGAUGUAGCAGUCGUAGAGGCCAGGGUUCUCUUUUCCUUCCUUUGAUGGCUUCUUUCCUUAUAUUCCUGUCCAGUCUUGUAUUCUCUGAAAGAAGAUCUCGAAGGGUUCCACUUCAAUCUCCCUCUUUUGGUCAAUCUUAAGGCAGAGGAUAUCAACUGAAGAUAGUCCCCCCACUUGGUGGGCUGCUGAUGAGAACUCAAAUUUCUAUUUAUUCUCUUAUAUGAGAAAAAAAAAAUGUUAUGUAAUAUGGAUUUUGAAUUACCUUUCAAUGGAUGUUGAAGCACUUACUUACAAAUUAUGGAAAAAUUAAAAAAAUUAUAUUAGAAAUGGGAAGUUCAAUUUUAAUUGCAAUGA